AUGUUUUCCUCAAAUGGUGCGUUCAAGACCACAGGGCUGCUACAUGCAAAAAUACAUCCAAUUGUAAUGUUAUUUAUACUAAUUGUUAAAUACUGUGCAUGUUUACAUGUGGUGUACCUCCUGAUGAUGACAACACCCUGCCAUGGGAUGGACCCACCUGCUCUACAACACCUGGGAGGCAAGAGCAGAUGUUGCCACAGCACUGCCUCAACAGUGAAUGAGUAUCGUCAUAUUAUCCAGUGGAGUUUUAAAAUCCUGAGUGUUAUCGUGAAUUUCAUUAGAGAAGGGCACAGAAAAGGUUGCAAUAAGCUCAUCACUGCUUGA
rnacentral:lncRNA from 1 species